ACAUGAAGAGACUUCAGCUGGCACCAGUCUGAGAGAUGAUUCUCCAUCUACUUGCGGACAACGCUUAACAAGUCCGGGAUACGCCCCGAGACCUGAC
rfam:Penicillium roqueforti FM164 genomic scaffold, ProqFM164S05